AACGAACGCUGGCGGCAUGCCUAACACAUGCAAGUCGAACGAUGCUUUCGGGCAUAGUGGCGCACGGGUGCGUAACGCGUGGGAAUCUGCCCUUUGGUUCGGAAUAACAGUUGGAAACGACUGCUAAUACCGGAUGAUGACGUAAGUCCAAAGAUUUAUCGCCAGAGGAUGAGCCCGCGUGAGAUUAGGUAGUUGGUGGGGUAAAGGCCUACCAAGCCGACGAUCUCUAGCUGGUCUGAGAGGAUGAUCAGCCACACUGGGACUGAGACACGGCCCAGACUCCUACGGGAGGCAGCAGUGGGGAAUAUUGGACAAUGGGCGAAAGCCUGAUCCAGCAAUGCCGCGUGAGUGAUGAAGGCCUUAGGGUUGUAAAGCUCUUUUACCCGGGAUGAUAAUGACAGUACCGGGAGAAUAAGCCCCGGCUAACUCCGUGCCAGCAGCCGCAGUAA
rnacentral:rRNA from 1 species